UGGGGAAUUUUGGACAAUGGGCGAAAGCCUGAUCCAGCAAUGCCGCGUGUGUGAAGAAGGCCUUCGGGUUGUAAAGCACUUUUGUCCGGAAAGAAAUCCUCUGGGUUAAUACCUCGGGGGGAUGACGGUACCGGAAGAAUAAGCACCGGCUAACUACGUGCCAGCAGCCGCGGUAAUACGUAGGGUGCAAGCGUUGUCCGGAUUUACUGGGUGUAAAGGGUGCUCAGGCGGAUUUGUAAGUCAGAGGUGAAAUCUUACAGCUUAACUGUGAAACUGCCUUUGAUACUGCACGCCUAGAGUAUGGAAGAGAGUGAUGGAAUAUCUGGUGUAGCAGUGAAAUGCGUAGAUAUCAGAUAGAACACCAAUGGCGAAGGCAGUCACUUGGUCCAUUACUGACGCUAAAGCACGAAAGCGUGGGUAGCAAAC
rnacentral:rRNA from 1 species